UUGUACACACCGCCCGUCGCUACUACCGAUUGAAUGGCUUAGUGAGGCCUUCGGACUGGCUCAGGGAGGUCGGCAACGACCACCCAGAGCCGGAAAGUUCGUCAAACUACGUCAUUUAGAGGAAGUAAAAGUCGUAACAAGGUUUCCGUAGGUGAACCUGCGGAAGGAUCAUUACUGAAAUGUAAUAACUUCUCUGAAAGGUCUUCGAUUAGGCGCAAGCCGAAAGAACCUCUCUCACCCUUGUGUACCCACUAUGUUGCUUUGGCGGGCCGACCCGGUUCUGACCCGGGCGGCCGGCGCCCCCAGCCUCUCGCAGGCCAGGACGCCCGGCUAAGUGCCCGCCAGUAUACAAAACUCAAGCGAUUAUUUUGUGAAGUCCUGAUAUAUCAUUCAAUUGAUUAAAACUUUCAACAACGGAUCUCUUGGUUCUGGCAUCGAUGAAGAACGCAGCGAAAUGCGAUAAGUAAUGUGAAUUGCAGAAUUCAGUGAAUCAUCGAAUCUUUGAACGCACAUUGCGCCCUCUGGUAUUCCGGAGGGCAUGCCUGUUCGAGCGUCAUUUCAACCCUCAAGCUCUGCUUGGUAUUGGGCGACGUCCGCUGCCGGACGCGCCUCGAAGACCUCGGCGACGGCGUCAUAGCCUCGAGCGUAGUAGUAAAAUAUCUCGCUUUGGAGUGCUGGGCGACGGCCGCCGGACAAUCGACCUUCGGUCUAUUUUUCCAAGGUUGACCUCGGAUCAGGUAGGGAUACCCGCUGAACUUAAGCAUAC
rnacentral:rRNA from 1 species